UGUGUGCCAAGCAAGAGGUGAGAAAUCCAGCAUGCAGGAUGGAAUUGACUGAGUAAAAUGUCCGCCUGAAAAACCUUACGAAGGAGAGGGCUGUUACAAAAAAUGAGAUUGUUGUAAAGGCGUGCACAUGCUCGAAGCCAAUUCAAUUGCAUGGGUUCCAAGCCACAUUCCCGUAACACACUCCAUGAAGGUGUAGAAUUCCUGACCCCU
rnacentral:lncRNA from 1 species